ACAUUCCUUCACGUAGACUUCAGCCAGUAGGAUAUAAAUAAGAUUGUAACCUGAAUAAACUUGCUAGUGAGCAGCAUCCCUGCUCUUAGCCCCCUCGAUCCCCGCUUUUCUUUGUCUUUAUUUCUCAGCAGUCUUCUACUUUCGGGUUACUUUCGAUCUCGUCGGAGCCGGCCUCCGACAAGUGGCGCCCGAACAGGGACCUGAAAAUACUGAGGACCGCCCAAACCACUAGGGAGACGCUGAUAGCCCUCGCUGGUUACCGGAGCGGUGUGUCCGCCAUGCCCAAAAGUCGGGUGGCUCGACUAUGCAGGAAAAUGAUGAGGCUGACGAUAACGCCUGGCGCAGGAAUGAGUUUGAUCGGAAGACCCUCACACUGCAUUCCCUGGCGCACCUCUGCUCCAUAUUUUGGAUCAUCUUUUUUCCUUUUGUGCCAGUGUCGGGAGACAACUAUUGGGCUUAUGUCCCUAACCCACCUUUGCUGCAUCCGGUCACCUGGGAGGAUGAUCGUGUUCCAAUAUAUACCAACAACACUCAGGUGAUGGGGUUGCAGUCUGCAGCCCAUAUAUGGCCAACAACCGCCUUUAACUUUACCUUUUCAGGACUGAGUAAACAUCUCCCCAUUUGUUUUACUCGAAGAAAUGACUCUGUUCACUGUGUGCCGGUGAGACGUGUUACUGAAUUGGAUGGAACUGACUAUACAAAACCUGGCAAUCAUUGGGUCAUGGAACUUGUAUACCCUCAAUUUAACUGUACACUGAAAGGACCUGGGCCCCCGCCUCAGCGAUAUCCUCCGUGUACUCCUAAGGUCCCUAACAAUAAUUAUGGUAUAAAUUGGAGAACAUGUUAUGCUAAUGUCACAGUUUGUAAUAAUGUGAUUUGUGAUCGGGCUGAAUUUAUGGACAAACCUUGUAUGCCAACAAAGAUGGUUGCUGGACUUUGGACUGGAAAUAAUCGGACUUGGCAGCCCGACCUUUGGAAAUUGGUUGCCAGCCUUGAUUAUGUCACUAUUCAUAAAACCAAUGUUACUGUGAGCCCGACUGUUCAUUAUAUUAGUGGCUUAAUUUCUUCAUGAAAUGUUUCUAUAUAUGCUUGUGUACCUAACCCCUAUGCCUUGGUUGUGGGAACAUUGAAUAUUUCUAAGGAUAAUAGCACCGGUAUUUUCAAUAUCUCCUGCUUUAACUGUAAUCUCACUAAUUGUAUUAAUAAUACCCAACAGGAUGUACUAAUUACCGUCCAACCCUCGUUUGUAUUUCUGCCUGUUAACAUAUCUGAAGAAUGGUAUGAUAACCGUGCGUUGGCUCUUUUGAAAAAAGUACAAAACCAAUUGAGCCGUAGGAAGAGAUUUGUGGGUUUGCUUAUUGCUGGUAUUACUGCUUUAGUUACUUUAAUUGCUACUGCUACCGCUUCUGCUGUCUCUUUGUCUACAAGUAUUCAAACCGCUGAUUUUGUUAAUGAAUUAUCCUAUAAUGUUAGUCAUGCUUUAGCUACCCAAGAAGAUUGGGAUAAAAAAAUUGAACAACGCGUUAAUGCAUUGUAUGAUGUGGUACAAAUUAUAGGAAAAGAGGUAGUUAGUCUUGAGACGCGAGUUUCCUUGCGUUGCCAUAGUUCUUUCAAAUACAUUUGUGUAACCCCCUAUAAAUAUAACUCCACUGUGUAUAAUUGGACCCAAAUCCAAAAUCAUUUAAAUGGCAUUUGGCAUGAUACUAACACUUCGUUAGAUUUACGGAAGCUGCAUUUAGAAAUUAAAGCAAUGCUUGAUAAUCCUGGACUUGAUAUCGAUAUCGCUAAGGAAGCUCAACAUUUUAUUCAAAAUCUCAAAAUGCAGUUCCCAAUUUUGCAACAGUUAAGCACUCAUCUGAUAUACUUAGAAAUAUUGGCUCUUGGUGUAAUCCUUAUAUCUCUUGCUCUCAUCACUGGCUGUAAAAUUGUCUUGACACAUUUUAUGAAAUUAUUUGUUGCUGUUAAAAAAUUACAAUUAUACCAAGAAAAAGACAAAGAUUAUAUGCAUUUUUAAAAUAAAAAAGGGGGAAUUGUGGGGACCUGUGCAGGCCUGACUAGCUUGCGGGGUGCUAAAGAGGGCCUUGAAAAGGGUCCUUCUUGUAUGUCCUGUAAGUAUGUAAGGAGAUCUGGAAUAAUGGUGUCCUUGCUAAGGGUCAUGCACAGGUCAGAGUAUGCGUGUUUCUUGCCUGGGAAAAUAUCUUAAGAUUAGAUCUGGUAUUUGCUAUAAACGUCAUGUUCCUCAGAUGUUUAUGAGCCAUUGACGUGAGAGCAGGGAACAAGGAAAUUCCAAGGCCAUCUGUAUUGUUUUUAAAAAAGCUUGUUUGUUACAUUCCUUCACGUAGACUUCAGCCAGUAGGAUAUAAAUAAGAUUGUAACCUGAAUAAACUUGCUAGUGAGCAGCAUCCCUGCUCUUAGCCCCCUCGA